UGGAGACCUGUAUGAAUGGCAUAACGAGGGCUUAGCUGUCUCCUUUUUCAAGUCAAUGAAAUUGAUCUCCCCGUGCAGAAGCGGGGAUACGAACAUAAGACGAGAAGACCCUAUGGAGCUUUAGACACCAAGGCAGACCAUGUUAAACACCCCAAAAUAACGGGCCAAACCAAAUGAGCCCUGCCCUAAUGUCUUUGGUUGGGGCGACCGCGGGGAAACACAAAACCCCCAUGUGGAACGAGAACACUCCCUCUCACAACCAAGAGCUUCCGCUCUAAUAAACAGAAAUUCUGACCAUCAAGAUCCGGCUAAAGCCGAUCAACGGACCGAGUUACCCUAGGGAUAACAGCGCAAUCCCCUUUUAGAGGCCAUAUCGACAAGGGGGUUUACGACCUCGAUGUUGGAUCAGGACAUCCUAAUGGUGCAGCCGCUAUUAAGGGUUCGUUUGUUCAACGAUUAAAGUCCAACGUGAUCUGAGUUCAGACCGGAGUAAUCCAGGUCAGUUUCUAUCUAUGAAAUGAUCUUUUCUAGUACGAAAAGGACCGAAAAGAAAAGGCUCCCUGCCACAAGCACGCCUUACCCCCACCUAAUGAAAAACAAAUAAAAUAGGCAAAAGGGCAUAACCCCUCAUGCCUUAGAGAACGGCAU
rnacentral:rRNA from 1 species